GACACGACUCUCGGCAACGGAUAUCUCGGCUCUCGCAUCGAUGAAGAACGUAGCGAAAUGCGAUACCUGGUGUGAAUUGCAGAAUCCCGCGAACCAUCGAGUCUUUGAACGCAAGUUGCGCCCGAGGCCACCCGGCCGAGGGCACGCCUGCCUGGGCGUCACGC
rnacentral:rRNA from 23 species